CGUGUCGUGAGAUGUGGUUAAGUCCCGCAACGAGCGCAACCCCUACUUGUUAGUUGCCAUCAUUCAGUUGGGCACUCUAGCGAGACUGCCGGUAAUAAACCGGAGGAAGGUGGGGAUGACGUCAAAUCAUCAUGCCCUUAUGACCUGGGCUACACACGUGCUACAAUGGUUGGUACAACGAGUUGCGAGUCGGUGACGGCGAGCUAAUCUCUUAAAGCCAAUCUCAGUUCGGAUUGUAGGCUGCAACUCGCCUACAUGAAGUCGGAAUCGCUAGUAAUCGCGGAUCAGCACGCCGCGGUGAAUACGUUCCCGGGCCUU
rnacentral:rRNA from 1 species